UCCAAUAUUCCCCACUGCUGCCUCCCGUAGGAGUCUGGACCGUGUCUCAGUUCCAGUGUGACUGAUCAUCCUCUCAGACCAGUUACGGAUCGUCGCCUUGGUAGGCCUUUACCCCACCAACUAGCUAAUCCGACCUAGGCUCAUCUGAUAGCGUGAGGUCCGAAGAUCCCCCACUUUCUCCCUCAGGACGUAUGCGGUAUUAGCGCCCGUUUCCGGACGUUAUCCCCCACUACCAGGCAGAUUCCUAGGCAUUACUCACCCGUCCGCCGCUGAAUCCAGGAGCAAGCUCCCUUCAUCCGCUCGACUUGCAUGUGUUAGGCCUGCCGCCAGCGUUCAAUCUGAGCCAGGAUCAAACCCUC
rnacentral:rRNA from 1 species